CCUACGGGAGGCAGCAGUGAGGAAUAUUGGUCAAUGGGCGUAAGCCUGAACCAGCCAAGUCGCGUGAGGGAUGAAGGUUCUAUGGAUCGUAAACCUCUUUUAUAAGGGAAUAAAGUGCGGGACGUGUCCCGUUUUGUAUGUACCUUAUGAAUAAGGAUCGGCUAACUCCGUGCCAGCAGCCGCGGUAAUACGGAGGAUCCGAGCGUUAUCCGGAUUUAUUGGGUUUAACGGGUGCGUAGGCGGCCUUUUAAGUCAGGGGUGAAAUUCUGUGGCUCAACCAUAGAAUUGCAGUUGAAACUGGGAGGCUUGAGGAUGUUAGAGGCAGGCGGAAUGCGUGGUGUAGCGGUGAAAUGCUUAGAUAGCACGCAGAACCCCGAUUGCGAAGGCAGCCUGCCAGGCCGUGACUGACGCUGAUGCACGAAAGCGUGGGGAUCAAACAGGAUUAGAUACCCGGGUAGUC
rnacentral:rRNA from 1 species